rnacentral:rRNA from 1 species
UACGUAGGGUGCGAGCGUUGUCCGGAUUUAUUGGGUUUAAAGGGUGCGUAGGCGGAUCUUUAAGUCAGUGGUGAAAGCCUGCAGCUUAACUGUAGAACAGCCAUUGAAACUGAAGGUCUUGAAUUUGGUUAAAGUAGGCGGAAUGUAUCAUGUAGCGGUGAAAUGCUUAGAUAUGAUACAGAACACCGAUAGCGAAGGCAGCUUGCUGAACCAAUAUUGACGCUGAGGCACGAAAGCGUGGGGAGCAAACAGG